rnacentral:rRNA from 1 species
GGGGUCUUCAUCGACUCUGCUUUUUAGUUGGGGCCUUCCUAUGUUUUAUCACACACUACUUCAGUUUAAAGAAUGUCCUCUUGCGUCUAACGCAUUUAAAUACAACUUUCAGCAACGGAUCUCUUGGCUCUCGCAUCGAUGAAGAACGCAGCGAAAUGCGAUAAGUAAUGUGAAUUGCAGAAUUCAGUGAAUCAUCGAAUCUUUGAACGCACCUUGCGCUCCUUGGUAUUCCGAGGAGCAUGCCUGUUUGAGUGUCAUGGAAUUCUCAACUCUAUUUGCUUUUGUGAAUAGAGCUUGGACUUGGAGGUUUAUUGCCGGUACCUGUGAUCGGCUCCUCUUGAAUGCAUUAGCUCGAACCUUUUGUGGAUCAGCUUAUCGGUGUGAUAAAAUGUCUACGCCGUUACUGUGAAGCAUAUUAUUCGGCUUCCAAUCGUCCUUCACGGGACAAUAACUUUGACCUUUGACCUCAAAUCAGGUAGGAUUACCCGCUGAACUUAAGCAUAUCAU